CAAAACAUAUCAAAGGUCUAAAUAUGGAAAGUAUAACACUCUGAAGGAAACAGAGGGCUAACGUUUCAUGACUUUGAAUUUGGCAAAGGAUUCUUAAAUAUGACACCCAAAAACAGCAAAAAAAAAAAAAAAAAUCUGAACUUCACAAAAAUUUAAAACUCUAAUAUUUUCAAGGAAACCAUUGAAAAAGUAUAAAGACGAUCCCAGAAUAGAAGAAAAUAUUUGCAAAUCAUAUUUCUGCUAAGGCACUUGUACCCAGAAUAUAUUUACAGCUUUAAAAAGACAACCCACUUUUAAAAUGGACAAAAGGCCUUGUAUUAAUUUCCUAGGGCUGCCAUAGCAAACUACCACAAACCAGGUGACUUAAAACAGCAAGAAUUUAUUCUCUUACAGUUCUGGAGGCUAAAAGUCCGGAUAGGUGUCAGGAGGGCCAUGAUCCCUGUAAGAGGAGAAGACUCUCUUCCAUGCCUCUCUUCUAGCUUCUGCUGGUUGCCAGCAGUCCCUGGCAUUCCUUGAUUUAUAGACCCAUCAUUCCAUUUUAUACUGCAUUCCUCCUGUGUCUAUAUAUGUCUUAUGCAGACUUCAGUCCUGAUAUUUAGGAUCCACUCUAAUCCAGUAUGGCCUCAACUUAAAUUGAUUACAUCUGCAAAGACCCUAUUUCCAAAAAGGUCACAUUCACAUGGACUGACAUGAAUUUGGGGGAGGACGCUAAUCAACCCACUGUAGACAUCCAAAUAGACAUUUCUCCAAGAAAGAUACACAGAUGGCCAAUAAGCAUAUGAAAAGAUGCUGGACAUCACUAGUCAUCAGGAAAAUGCAAAUCAAAAUCGCAAUGAAAUAAACUUCACACACGUUAAAACGGCUGGAAUCAAAAAGUCAGAAGCAAGACCAUUGGAAACCACAUGCACUGCUGGUGGAAAUGUAAAAUGGUGCAGCUGCUUUGGAAAACAAACUGACAAUUCUUAAAAUGAUUAAACAUAGAGCCACCAUGUGACCCUGUAAUUCUGCUCCUAUGUAUAUACUCAGGAGCAAUGAAAACAGAUGUUCACACAAGAGCUUUUAUAUGAAUGUUUAUAGCAACAUCAUUCAUAAUACCUAAAAAGUGGAAACAACAUAAAUGUCCAUCAACAGAUGAAUGGAUAAACAAAAUGUGGUAUAUAGUACAAUGGAAAAUUAUAUAUUAUUAUAUAUGAUUCCAUCCUUAUGAAAUAUUUAGAGAAAUCUAUAGGGAUAGAAAAUAGAUUAGUGAUUUCCUAGGGCUGGGGUAGGUGGAGAUGUGGAGAUAAGGAGUGCUAGUUAAAGUACAUGAGGUUUUUUUUUAACCAUCUUUCUAUUUUCUUUCUUUCUUUCUAUCUUUUUUUUUUUUUUUUUUGGCUUUUUAGGGCUGCACCCAUGGCAUAUGGAGGUUCCCAGGCUAGGGGUCUCAUUGGAGCUUCAGCUGCCGACCUACACCACAGCCACAGCCACGCAGGAUCUGAGCCUUGUCUUCAGCCUACCCCACAGCUCACAGCAACACCAGAUCCUUAACCCACUGAUUGAGGCCAGGGAUUGAACCCACAACCUCAUGGUUCCUAGUCGGAUUCCUUGUGCAACUGAUCUCUAGAACUUUCUUGUCUUACAAAACUAAAAUUCUAUGCCUAUUGAACAGUUUCCCUAUUCUCACUCCCCUAGACUUUUUGAGGUCUUAAAAAUGAUCUGAAAUUGACACUAGUGAUAUUUGCACAUAUCUGUGAAUAUACUAAAAACUAUUGAAUUAUAAUCUUAAAUGAAUGAAUUGUAUGGUAUGUGAAUUAUAUUUCAAUAAAACUUUUUAAAAUACGUACUUUUGGGAGUUCCCAUUAUGGCUCAGUGGGUUACGUACCUGACUAGUAUCCAUGAAGAUGUAGAUUCAAUUCCUGGCCUCGCUCAGUGGGUUAAAGAUCUGGCAUUGCCAUCCCUGAGUUGUGGAGGUUGCAAACCUGGCUUAGAUCCCGCAUUGCUGUGGCUGUGGCAGCGGCUGGCAGCUGCGGCUCUGAUUUGACUCCUAGCCUGAGAACUUCUAUAUGCUACAGGUAUGGCCCUUAAAAAAAAAAAGUACCAUUGACAAUACUAUAAAAAGGAAAGAAAAAGUACCUAUAAGCAAGUGGCUAGUCCUAGGGUAAGGACAGAGGGAUUAUGUGGAAGUCUUCCCCCUCCUGGCUUCACAACACUGCCAUCAAGGCUUAUAUUCGCCAGGCAGGAGACUGGAGCAUCCCUCUCAGGAAAAAGCCCUCCCCACAUUUUUUUUUUUUGCUUUUGAAUAGAACAUGCCACUAAGGAUCAACAGAUAUUGAGGAAAAACACCAUCAUGAAAGAGAAAGACCACGACAAAUAAAUAGUUGGGGCAGUUGGGGCAGGGGGACCAAUUCAGUAGAAACGAAACAAU
rnacentral:lncRNA from 1 species